ensembl:lncRNA
AGCGGAGCAGCAUCCACACGGGUUCGUUUAACAAAUGCUCCCUGACAUGGCUGGGCCUUAUGCUAGGCUCAGAUGAUACAGCCAGAGAAGCCUGCCAUCCCUGCCAUCCAGAGCUCACGUCUGUGUAGCGGCAACAGCUAACAAACAAGAGAGAUCAAGGGGCCGGUGGUGCAGCUCAGAGGUCCGGCCCCUUCUCCAGACCCAGGAAGUGACAAGGUACAGACAGGAGGACAGAAAGGAACAGGACCAAAGCAAGUCCAAACUCCAGCCGGGAAAAUACUAAGACCCGUAGCUCCAUGUCCAGCAUGCAAGACAACCUGUGAUGAAAUGUGAGCUCCAGAGGGCUUGGGUGGCUCUAUCCCUAUGGCACUUCUAGGCGUUCUAGCUCCCAUGGCUUCUCUCUGGGGCCAGCUCUGCUCCCUCCUUGCAGUUUUCCUCAGAUGAUCCACAUUCCUGGCUUCUCCAAACUUCUGGGGUCUCCACUGUACCUUUGCCUUCACACUUGCAUUCUGCGUGCAUCUAAAAUCACCACCAAGUGGAUGAUACCAGAGUCUGCUGCCAGCUGGAGCAGUAGCCAGGCUUCCUUCUCUCUUGGCUGUAGGGGUUGAGUGCUUGGAUUGUUGAGCACUCUGAAUCCAAUCCCAAGGAAAAAAUUCUCUAUGCCACUGCCAUCCUGGAACAUGGUGCUCUGGGGCUCUCUUCUCAAAGCAGUCUUUCACCUUUGCAAGUCUGAGACUGCAGAGCCUGGAGUCCUGUGGGUUCUUAUGAUGUCCUCAGGCCAUAUUUUCUGUUGUCUUCUUCUGAAAUACUUGGCUUUUUCCUGCUGGUCUUUUCAGUGACCAAUUUCUCCUCUGUUCCAUCUUUGCAAGCCACAUCUUUACUGGAGCAUCCUUUCUGGACAGACUGAAAACAUUUUAAAUCAUUCUGCUGGGAUCUUUGCUCUUGAUUCUCAACAUAAAUCUGGCUAAAUGCCCCCAACACUAGCCAUGCCACGGCCUCAACAAUAGGCUGCUUUGAAAUUUCUUCUGCCAGAUUAAUUAAUCUGGCCGCCCUUGGUCUCAGGCAAAGUCUCUGGAAAUGAGCAAAAUGCAUCCAUACUUUAUGCCAACCCAUAACACACAUUGUCUGGAGUCCAACAGCCAAUGCAGUCCUUCUACCCAGCAGAAACCUCCCAAGCCCGGUCUUUAUUGGCAGAAUUCCUAUCAGAUUCUGGUUUUUGGAGGGGUUUUUGGUACCAGGGAUCAAACUCAGGUCCUUGGGCUUGCAAGGCAAGCAGCAGAACCACUGAGCUAAAUCUCUGGCCCCUAUCAGCAUUCUGGUCUUCUGAGCUCUGACCAGAAUCUCCUAUACAGAACAGCUUAAGGUGUCCCAGCUCUACUUUUUCAGCUGGCCUCCAAAUUUUUCCUAACUCUUUGCCCUCCCACAAGCCAGUUUCAAAAGCUCCUAAACCACAUGGUCAGGUACAGUCACAGCAAGGACCCCACUUCUCUGGUACCAAAUUCUGUCUUAGUUAAUUUUCUUGUUGCUGAGACAAAAUACCCAACACCCAAAGUUAAGUGGAGAAAGGUUUAUUUUGGCUCAUGGUUUGUAGAGGUUUCAGUCCAUAGUUGCCUGGCUCCAAGGCAAGAUGACAUGGCAGACAAACAUUGCAGAGGAGAAACAGUUCAUGGUGGGCAGAAGGUCAUAAAGCAAGCAAGGGGCCCUGGCAGCCUUUUUCUGCCCCUUUUAUACUCUGUCUAGGCUAUCAGGAUUGGGGCAGCACCAAGCCAAUCAGUGGACUGAUGUAGCAGUGACACAGCCUUAAUCCCAGCAUCACACACUCUAGAUCCAGCCACCUCUGAAAAAGUCCCACCUAUGACUGCAUGAGGCAUUGGGUGACAUCUAGUUAUAAACUCUAACAGGUUUGCACAACAUUGCAAAUGUACUGGACACUACUGAAAACACUAUUUAAAAAUGGCUAAGAUAGAAAAUUUUUGUGAUGUGUAUUUCACCAUGAAAAAUUAUAAGCUGGAGAUUUGAUUCUUGUUGACAGUCAGAAUGGAAGCCCUCAAUGGUCAGAAAUAAAUGUGAUGAUACAGAGCGUACAACAAUAAGUACUCCAUACAUUUAUUUUCAUUUUUUCACUUUUUUUUUUUUUGAUACUAGGGACCAAACUCGGGUCCUUGCGCUUACAGGGCAGGUGGCAGGACCACUGAGUUAAAUCCCCAGCUUUUAUUUUCAUUUUUUAUGGGAUUCAUACAAAAAGGAAUUGAUCAGGAUUGGGUGCCUGUCCCCCCUUUCUAUCAGCCCUAUAGACAGCAUAUGUAGGUGCAAAGCUUUAGUGUCUAUAUUGACCAUGGACUGGAACCUCUAACACAGUAAGCCAAAAAACCUUUCUGCUGUAUAAGUCGAUUAUCUCAGGUAUUUGUUAUCACGACAGAAACCUGCCACCACACCGACAUAGUUGAUCAUAUCUUAGCACACCAUUGUCAGUAAGUUUGGAAGCUGAAGAAAAUGUCCUUAACUAGAAAUAACAAAAGGCAAAACAUGACCAGCCACCCUAACAACUCCAUAAAAAUUACAGAGGUGAGGGCUGGGGAUUUAGCUCAGUGGUUGUACUGCCUGCCUCAAAAGUGCAAGGUCCCGAGUUCGAUCCCCAGUACCAAAAAAAAAAAAAAGUACAGAGCUGAGCAAGGAAUGUAGCCAAAAGGUCUAAGGAAGAUUCUGUAGAGAGAGCCAGCAACUCAUUAAUAUAAGUAUCAUUUUAUUCAUGAAUACAGAGUUUCAUUUGGAUUUCUCCUAUUUUUUACAUAAAAUUGAUAAUUUGUUGCUGUUCCUUUCGUUGUCCUAAAUAGAUAUUUCUUUUACACCUAAUUUGGUAUUUAUUUACUUAUUAUUUAUUUUGCAGUGCUUAGGAUGAAACCUACAUGCUAGCCAGGCAUUCUAUCAUGGGGCUAUAUCCCCAACCCCAAUCUUGUAUUCUUAAUAUGUAUACUUCGGCGUAAAGAAAUACCCUAAACUUAUAUAAGCUUCAAGUCCUGUAAAAUUUAGAACCAGCUGUUUUGCCUGGCAAAGGCAUAAAAUAAGAAGUAAACAAACCAAUCCAACCAUCGCCACUUUAGGAUGUUUUGGUGUCCACAUAGAGGACAAUUCCAUAAAUUACAUCACCUAGUGAAGUUGGGUUGUGUAUGCACACUCUGAUGUUCACACGGGAUGUUCUCAGAACGUGUCCCACCAUUAGAUGACAUCAGACUGUAGGGGGACAGCACAUCCUGUGCCCCUCCCUGGAGCACCUCCACAAUUCAGACUUCUUCAGCUCUUCUGCUCUUCAACUCUCCAUUUCUCCCACUCUGGCCCUCCAUGGACAUUGGUGGCAUCUCUCUGUCAGGCACACUGCACAUGCACAUCUAAAAGCACAUUGCCUCAGUCUGUUUGCUGCUGCUAUAACCGAAUACCACAGCCCAAGUGAUUUGUAAAGUAUAAAGGUUUAUUCAGCUCAGGGUUCUGGAGCUAGAGGGUCCUACAGGAAGGGCUGCAUCGGAUGGAGACUGAUCCAUGCCACUGCCAGUCUUUUGUCCCUGUAUCUGUGUUCUCAGACAUCAUGGAGGAGAGAAAGCCAUUAGUUCUGGGCCUGUCUGGCUGAUCUACAGAAACCGUGAGAGGCAAUAGAUGCUGUGGUUAUCUUAAGCCAUUAUAAUAUGGGGAUCAUUUGUGAUGCAGCCAGUGUAAGCAGAGCGUGUGUUUCUCAUUUCCCUCCAGAAUAAAUAAAGCUGCUGCGAACAUUCCAGUGUGGGUCAUCCCUGUGAGAACAAGCCCUCCUUCAUCUUGGCAGGAGACCUCAGGCCGAUGGCUGAGUUGCAGGAAGGGCACAUGUUGGAUUGAAUAAGGGACUGAGAGCCUGUUUUACGAAGUGGUAGUGUCAUUUUACACUCCUACUCCCAGUGUUUGAGAGUUCCAGCUGCUCCCUAUCCUCAACAGCACUUAGUGUUAUCAGUCUUUUUCUGCUGGCCAUACUAAUGAGUUGCAGUGGUAUCUUGUGCUGUCUUCAGUGUGCAUUUAUUUCCUCGCCGAUGCUGUUGAGCCUCCUCUAGCAUGUUUGUUGACCAUGCAGGCAACCUAUUCUGAAAAAUUUUUUUUUGGUACCGGCGAUUGAACUCGGGUCCUUGCGCUUGCAAGGCAGGCGGCGAAACCACUGAGCUAAAUCCCUGGCCCUCUGCAAAAUUUUUGUUCAAGGCUUUUUGUCAAUUUUGAAAUCAAAUUACUUGCGUUUUAAUAAAAUACAAGCUUAUCAUAUUUUACUUUAGAAAUUCUUCAUGUAUUCUAGAUUCUAGUCCUUUGCCAGAGAUACACAUUGUGAAACAUUUCUCUCUGCUUGGCUUUUCACUUUCUUAAUGUUGCUUCUUAAUGCUCUUCUGAGGAGGAGACGUUUUUAGCUUUGAUAUAGGUAAAAUAUGUAAUAUCUAAUAAUGUUUAACUAAAACAUAUCAUCUUUUCCUUUUAUUGUUAUGGUUAAUUUUAUAAUGUACUAAGACAUCUUUUCUUAUCUCUAAAUUCUGAUAUUUUAUAUUUUCUUCUGGAAGCUUUAUGGUUUUGGUCCAUCUCAAAUUUUCCUCAUUGUUAUAAUGGGAGCAGUUGCCUUUCACAAGUUCC